GACGAACGCUGGCGGCGUGCUUAACACAUGCAAGUCGAACGGAAAGGCCCUGCUUGCAGGGUGCUCGAGUGGCGAACGGGUGAGUAACACGUGGGUGAUCUGCCCCUUAUUUUGGGAUAAGCCUGGGAAACUGGGUCUAAUACUGGAUAGGACCAUGCUGUAGGUGGUGUGGUGGAAAGAUUAGUUUCGGUAAGGGAUGAGCUCGCGGCCUAUCAGCUUGUUGGUGGGGUAAUGGCCUACCAAGGCGUCGACGGGUAGCCGGCCUGAGAGGGUGGACGGCCACAUUGGGACUGAGAUACGGCCCAGACUCCUACGGGAGGCAGCAGUGGGGAAUAUUGCACAAUGGGCGCAAGCCGGAUGCAGCGACGCCGCGGGGGGGAUGACGGCCUUCGGGUUGUAAACUCCUUUCAGCCAUGACGAAGCCCUUGUGGUGACGGUAGUGGUAGAAGAAGCACCGGCUAACUACGUG
rnacentral:rRNA from 1 species